rnacentral:rRNA from 1 species
GACGAACGCUGGCGGCGUGCUUAACACAUGCAAGUCGAACGGUGAAGCGCCUUCCUUUUUGGUGGGUGUGGAUGAGUGGCGAACGGGUUAGUAACACGUGAGUAACCUGCCCCCUUCUUCUGGAUAACCGCAUGAAAGUGUGGCUACUACGUGAUAUUCUGAGUCUGUCGCUUGAUGGGUCUGGGAAAGAUAUUGUUUCGGCGGGGGAUGGGCCCGCGACCAUUCAGCUUGUUGGUGGGAGGAUGGCCUCCCAAGCCGGUGACGGGUAGCCGGCUUGGGGGGGUGGACGGACACACAGGGACACAGACACCGCACAGACACCGACGGGAGGCAGCAGUGAGGAAUAUUGCACAAUGGGCGCAAGCCUGAUGCAGCGACGCCGCGUGAGGGAGGGAGGCGGUCGGGUUGUGAACCUCUUUAGCGAGGGAAGCAGGCCUGCCUCGUUUGUGGGUGGAUUGACGGUAGCUGGAUAAGAAGCGCCGGCUAACUACGUG